UACAGAGGAGCCAAGCGUUGCCCGGAUUGACUGGGCGUAAAGCGCACGCAGGCGGUUGCGCGCGUGGGGUGUGAAAUCUGGCCGCUUAACGGCCAGGCGCCAUCCCAUACGGCGCGACUGGAGUGAUGCAGAGGUCGAUGGAAUUGCCGGUGUAGUGGUGAAAUGCGUAGAGAUCGGCAGGAACACCCAGGGGGAAACCAGUCGACUGGGCAUCUACUGACGCUGAGGUGCGAGAGCGUGGGGAGCGAACCGG
rnacentral:rRNA from 1 species